UGAUAGGCAGGGUGUGUAAGCGUUGUGAGGCGUUGAGCUAACCUGUACUAAUUGCCCGUGAGGCUUAACCAUACAACACCCAAGGGGUUUUGUA
rnacentral:rRNA from 1 species